UGAGGAAUAUUGCACAAUGGAGGAAACUCUGAUGCAGCAACGCCGCGUGGAGGAUGACGCAUUUCGGUGUGUAAACUCCUUUUAAGAGGGAAGAUAAUGACGGUACCUCUUGAAUAAGCACCGGCUAACUCCGUGCCAGCAGCCGCGGUAAUACGGAGGGUGCAAGCGUUACUCGGAAUCACUGGGCGUAAAGGGUGCGUAGGCUGGCUUCUAAGUCAGAUGUGAAAUCCAAUGGCUUAACCAUUGAACUGCAUUUGAAACUGGA
rnacentral:rRNA from 1 species